rnacentral:rRNA from 1 species
UACAGAGGGUGCGAACGUUGUUCGGAAUUACUGGGCAUAAAGCGCACGUAGGCGGUUCUGUAAGUGUGGAGUGAAAUCCCACGGCUCACCCGUGGAACAGCUCCGCAUACUGCAGGACUCGAGGACGGUAGGGGAGAGCGGAACUCCUGGUGGAGCGGUGAAAUGCGUAGAUAUCAGGAGGAACACCGGCGGCGAAGGCGGCUCUCUGGUCCGUUACUGACGCUGAGGUGCGAAAGCCAGGGGAGCAAACGGG